UCUUAGGAGAUGAGUGUGGUCGCCGAUUCAGGACGAGCCCCCAAAUGAAAGACCCCCAAAGCAGGGGGACCCUCACUCAAGGCUCAGGAUGUUGCGACCCCCCAAGAACUCACGAGAGACC
rnacentral:pre_miRNA from 14 species